rnacentral:tRNA from 1 species
GCGGGCGUGUUGAAAUUGGUAGACAAGNNNNCAAGCCAGACUUAGGAUCUGGUGCCUUGUGCGUAUGGGUUCGAGUCCCUUCGCCCGCACAA